GGCUGAAUGGUUCUUAUCUGCCGUCACAUUCUAUGUUUCUAUGUUUCUAUGCAUGUUGUUAAACUGAGAAAAACAAGCACUCUGCUGACAUUAUCAGAAACAUAGAAACAUAGAAACAUAGAAACAUAGACAUAGAAACAUAGAAACAUAGAAUGUGACGGCAGAUAAGAACCAUUCGGCC